AUUGAACGCUGGCGGCAUGCCUUACACAUGCAAGUCGAACGGUAACAGGUCUUCGGAUGCUGACGAGUGGCGAACGGGUGAGUAAUACAUCGGAACGUGCCUAGUAGUGGGGGAUAACUACUCGAAAGAGUGGCUAAUACCGCAUGAGAUCUAAGGAUGAAAGCAGGGGAUCGCAAGACCUGGUGCUACUAGAGCGGCCGAUGGCAGAUUAGGUAGUUGGUGGGAUAAAAGCAUACCAAGACGACGAUCUGUAGCUGGUCUGAGAGGACGAUCAGCCACACUGGGACUGAGACACGGCCCAGACUCCUACGGGAGGCAGCAGUGGGGAAUUUUGGACAAUGGGCGAAAGCCUGAUCCAGCAAUGCCGCGUGCAGGAUGAAGGCCUUCGGGUUGUAAACUGCUUUUGUACGGAACGAAAAGCCCCGGGUUAAUACCCUGGGGUCAUGACGGUACCGUAAGAAUAAGCACCGGCUAACUACGUGCCAGCCGCCGCGGUAA
rnacentral:rRNA from 1 species